rnacentral:rRNA from 1 species
AUUGAACGCUGGCGGCAUGCCUUACACAUGCAAGUCGAACGGUAACGGGCCUUCGGGUGCCGACGAGUGGCGAACGGGUGAGUAAUACAUCGGAACGUGCCCGAUCGUGGGGGAUAACGAGGCGAAAGCUUUGCUAAUACCGCAUACGAUCUACGGAUGAAAGCAGGGGACCGCAAGGCCUUGCGCGGACGGAGCGGCCGAUGGCAGAUUAGGUAGUUGGUGGGAUAAAAGCUUACCAAGCCGACGAUCUGUAGCUGGUCUGAGAGGAUGAUCAGCCACACUGGGACUGAGACACGGCCCAGACGCCUACGGGAGGCAGCAGUGGGGAAUUUUGGACAAUGGGCGCAAGCCUGAUCCAGCCAUGCCGCGUGCAGGAUGAAGGCCUUCGGGUUGUAAACUGCUUUUGUACGGAACGAAAAGCCUUCUUUUAAUACAGGAGGGUCAUGACGGUACCGUAAGAAUAAGCACCGGCUAACUACGU